UACGUAGGGGCCUAGCGUUGUCCGGAUUUAUUGGGCGUAAAGAGCGCGCAGGCGGUCGAUCAAGUCGAGUGUGAAAGCCCCCGGCUCAACUGGGGAGGGUCAUUCGAUACUGAUCGACUCGAAGGCAGGAGAGGGUAGUGGAAUUCCCGGUGUAGUGGUGAAAUGCGUAGAUAUCGGGAGGAACACCAGUGGCGAAGGCGACUACCUGGCCUGUUCUUGACGCUGAGGCGCGAAAGCUAGGGGAGCAAACGGG
rnacentral:rRNA from 1 species